rnacentral:rRNA from 1 species
GACGGAGGGUGCGAGCGUUAUCCGGAAUUACUGGGUUUAAAGGGGGCGUAGGCGGCUUUGUAAGUCAGGAGUGAAAGUUUGCGGCUCAACCGUAAAAUUGCUUUUGAUACUGCAGAGCUAGAAUCAGGAUGAGGUUAGCGGAAUGUGGCAUGUAGCGGUGAAAUGCAUAGAUAUGCCAGAGAACACCAAUUGCGAAGGCAGCUGGCUAGACCUGCAUUGACGAUGAGGCACGAAAGAGUGGGGAGCGAACAGG